rnacentral:rRNA from 1 species
CACAUGCAAGUCGAGGGGAAACGACAUCGAAAGCUUGCUUUUGAUGGGUGUCGACCGGCGCACGGGUGAGUAACGCGUAUCCAACCUGCCCACCACAUGGGGAUAACCUUGCGAAAGUAAGACUAAUACCCAAUGAUAUCUCUAGAAGACAUCUGAAAGAGAUUAAAGAUUUAUCGGUGAUGGAUGGGGAUGCGUCUGAUUAGCUUGUUGGCGGGGUAACGGCCCACCAAGGCGACGAUCAGUAGGGGUUCUGAGAGGAAGGUCCCCCACAUUGGAACUGAGACACGGUCCAAACUCCUACGGGAGGCAGCAGUGAGGAGUAUUGGUCAAUGGACGAGAGUCUGAACCAGCCAAGUAGCGUGCAGGAUGACGGCCCUGUGGGUUGUAAACUGCUUUUAUAAGGGAAUAAAGUGAGUCUCGUGAGACUUUUUGCAUGUACCUUAUGAAUAAGGACCGGCUAAUUCCGUGCCAGCAGCCGCGGUAACACGGAAGGUCCGGGCGUUAUCCGGAUUUAUUGGGUUUAAAGGGAGCGUAGGCCGGAGAUUAAGCGUGUUGUGAAAUGUAGACGCUCAACGUCUGCACUGCAGCGCGAACUGGUUUCCUUGAGUACGCACAAAGUGGGCGGAAUUCGUGGUGUAGCGGUGAAAUGCUUAGAUAUCACGAAGAACUCCGAUUGCGAAGGCAGCUCACUGGAGCGCAACUGACGCUGAAGCUCGAAAGUGCGGGUAUCGAACAGGAUUAGAUACCCUGGUAGUCCGCACGGUAAACGAUGGAUGCCCGCUGUUGGUCUGAAUAGGUCAGCGGCCAAGCGAA